UACGUAGGUGGCAAGCGUUGUCCGGAUUUACUGGGCGUAAAGCGAACGCAGGCGGACUGUUAAGUAGGAAGUGAAAGGUUGGAGCUCAACUCCGGCACUGCUCCCUAUACUGGCAGUCUUGAGUCUUGGAGAGGAAAGCGGAACGACACGUGUAGCGGUGAAAUGCGUUGAUAUGUGUCGGAACACCGAUGGCGAAACGC
rnacentral:rRNA from 1 species